ACACUUAGUUUUGUACAACAU
rnacentral:miRNA from 1 species